GCAAUCUUUAAGUUUGGAUUCCAAUAUUGUUGAAUGGGUAAGGCAGUGGCUGAGUGACAGGCAAGUGAGGGUUGUAGUCAAUGGAGUAUAUUCGAAGCUUGGGCUUGCAAAAGUGGGGUACCUCAGGGAUCUGUACUUGGUCCCAUUCUCUUUAAUAUUUUUAUUAGUGAUAUUUCAGAAGGUCUUGAUGGUAAGGUAUGUCUUUUUGCUGAUGAUACUAAGAUGUGUAACAGGGUUGAUG
rnacentral:lncRNA from 1 species